UAGGGAAUCUUCGGCAAUGGGGGGAACCCUGACCGAGCAACGCCGCGUGAGUGAAGAAGGUUUUCGGAUCGUAAAGCUCUGUUGUAAGAGAAGAACGGGUGUGAGAGUGGAAAGUUCACACUGUGACGGUAUCUUACCAGAAAGGGACGGCUAACUACGUGCCAGCAGCCGCGGUAAUACGUAGGUCCCGAGCGUUGUCCGGAUUUAUUGGGCGUAAGGCGAGCGCAGGCGGUUAGAUAAGUCUGAAGUUAAAGGCUGUGGCUUAACCAUAGUAUGCUUUGGAAACUGUUUAACUUGAGUGCAGAAGGGGAGAGUGGAAUUCCAUGUGUAGCGGUGAAAUGCGUAGAUAUAUGGAGGAACACCGGUGGCGAAAGCGGCUCUCUGGUCUGUAACUGACGCUGAGGCUCGAAAGCGUGGGGAGCAAACA
rnacentral:rRNA from 1 species